UUCCGGUUGAUCCCGCCGGAGGCCAUUGCUAUCAGGGUUUGACUAAGCCAUGCGAGUCGAGAGGUGUAAGACCUCGGCAUACUGCUCAGUAACACGUGGUUAACCUGCCCUAAGGUGGAGCAUACUCCCGGGAAACUGGGGCUAAUUCUCCAUAGUGGAUGUAUCCUGGAAUGGUAUAUCCUCGAAAGAUCCGUCGCCUUAGGAUGGGACUGCGUCCGAUUAGGUUGUUGGCGGGGUAACGGCCCACCAAGCCAUUGAUCGGUACGGGUUGUGGGAGCAAGAUCCCGGAGAUGGAUUCUGAGACAUGAAUCCAGGCUCUACGGGGCGCAGCAGGCGCGCAAACUUUACAAUGCGAGCAAUCGUGAUAAGGAAACCCUGAGUGCCUGUCGAUGCAGGCUGUUCAUAUAUCUAAAUCAUAUGUGAAGAAAGGGCAGGGCAAGACCGGUGCCAGCCGCCGCGGUAAUACCGGCUGCUCGAGUGAUGGCCACUAUUACUGGGUUUAAAGCGUCCGUAGCUUGACUGUUAGGUCUCUUGGGAAAUCUUCGCGCUCAACGUGAAGGCGUCUAAGAGAUACCGGCAGUCUUGGAACUGGGAGAGGUAACCGUACUUCGGGGGUAGAGUGAAAUCUUGUAAUCCUCGAGGGACGACCUAUGGCGAAGGCAGUUUACCAGAACAGCUUCGACAGUGAGGGACGAAGCUGGGGGA
rnacentral:rRNA from 1 species